ensembl:lncRNA
GUCGCUGGCUUGAUCUUCUCACUGAUGUUUACAGGAGCUCAGCAUCAGCCAGUUCUGCAGAACCAAUGACUGAGGCAGCAGUUUGUCUGUACGUGUGUGGCAGCUUCAGCCCACCUUAUAUGGAAACACUGCACUGUACUGAGAAAGAGACGUGUUAAAUCCAGGGAUGGAAGUCUGACUCUAAGCAGGAGGGUUUGCACUUUGCAAAUUCUUCUGGCUGCCGAAAAUACUGUUUUCUGUUCCUUUUGGUUCUGAUUGUUCUCUUGCCCUCAUUCAGUCUCAUUGCCUACUGGCUCUUUGUUUUCUGAGGAUCAAAUUUCAUUGAUUCAAGCCUCCCUUCCUGCUUUUGGCGGCUCCUGUGAAUCAUGGCGGCUCCUGUGAACAUGUGAAUCAGGCCACGGCUUACGUGAAAAAGCUGAUCAAAAGUUCUGUAUCAAAAAAUGAACAGCAAACGUGCUAUAGCUCAGCAAGGCUGUGGCUGCGGCAGCAGUGACACUGAAGAUGAGCAUCCGUUCAUGGGACAGACAGUGCAUUUCUGUUGCUAAGUGGCUGUAAUUGAGAAGACAUCAUUCACUUCGCUGUGAGGGCUGAAACUCAUAAUCACUAGUGACUGUUUUGACUAAUUCUGCAUUUUCACAGUCUUCUUAACAGCAGACAAGUGAAUUAAAUGAGCUCACAAAAUCUCCUUGACUGGCCGUACAUCCCUUAUUCUGAGUUACAAUAAAUCAGUAAUUAAAAAAAAAAAAAAAAAAAAAAAAAAAAAAAAAAGGAAUUUGAUCUAUGAGCUCAGGAAAUUCCUACAGAGCCCACUUAUGCAGGAGAACGUUGGAUUUCUCUUCAUAUUCUUCUCUGAUUUUAGAAAAUGACUCAAGCUGCAAAAUCCAGUCCUGGACUUUGCUCUCCACCAGAGGACUCACAUCCCAAUUCACUGUGAGACUACUGAUCCUUUUCCAAAGCUGUUUGCAGCCCAAUUCCAAAAGUUUGGGCACACCUUGAUGUGAU